rnacentral:rRNA from 1 species
AAUAGAUACCCAGGUAGUCCACGCCGUAAACGAUGAGUGCUAAGUGUUAGAGGGUUUCCGCCCUUUAGUGCUGCAGCUAACGCAUUAAGCACUCCGCCUGGGGAGUACGGCCGCAAGGCUGAAACUCAAAGGAAUUGACGGGGGCCCGCACAAGCGGUGGAGCAUGUGGUUUAAUUCGAAGCAACGCGAAGAACCUUACCAGGUCUUGACAUCCUCUGCCAACCCUAGAGAUAGGGCGUUCCCCUUCGGGGGACAGAGUGACAGGUGGUGCAUGGUUGUCGUCAGCUCGUGUCGUGAGAUGUUGGGUUAAGUCCCGCAACGAGCGCAACCCUUGAUCUUAGUUGCCAGCAUUCAGUUGGGCACUCUAAGGUGACUGCCGGUGACAAACCGGAGGAAGGUGGGGAUGACGUCAAAUCAUCAUGCCCCUUAUGACCUGGGCUACACACGUGCUACAAUGGAUGGUACAAAGAGUUGCGAACCCGCGAGGGUAAGCCAAUCUCAUAAAGCCAUUCUCAGUUCGGA